GGAUUCCCUCAGUAACGGCGAGUGAAGAGGGAAGAGCUCAGUUUUGAAAUCUGGCAGUGAUAGUGCUGUCCGAGUUGUAAAUUGAAGAGAAUGUCAUCCACACUGGACCAUGUCUAAAUUGUAAUGAUCCACAGUCCUUUGAUGGAGUAUCAGAGAGGGUAAUAAUCCCGUCUUUAACGUGGACUACCAGUGUUCUAUGUGAUGCACUCUCUCAGAGUCGAGUAGUUUGGGAAUGCUGCUCUAAUGGGAGGUAAACUCCUUCUAAAGCUAAAUAUGGGCGAGAGACCGAUAGCGAACAAGUACCGUGAGGGAAAGAUGAAAAGAACUCUGAAAAGAGAGUCAAACAGAACGUGAAAUUGCUGAAAGGGAAGCGUUUGAAGUCAGAUGCGUCUUCAUGGAAUGACAGCUCAGUGGUAGAGACUGGGAACAGUGACUUGAAGACGGGCCAGCACUCACGUAGUCCAUUGGAAAAGGGACCAUGGAAUGUAGCUCACUUGUUGAGUGAUUAUAGCCUUGGUUCAUAUACAAUGUGUCUUAUGUGGGAUGGAUAGCACGUUCACUCAGUGCUUGGUUGAUUGGCAUAAUGGCUCUAAGCGACCCGUCUUGAAACACGGACCAAGGAGUCUAACAUGUAUGCGAGUAUGAGAGUGAUUGAAACUCUAACAUGCGCAAUGAAAGUGGUCUUUGACUGAGAAUCUUCACACUGAGGGAGAGGCAUCAGUACCCCGAGUCUGUUAGUCUUUGACUAAAGAGUUGGAGGUAGAGCAUAUAUGUUGGGACCCGAAAGAUGGUGAACUAUGCCUGAAUAGGGUGAAGUCAGAGGAAACUCUGAUGGAGGCCGUAGCGAUUCUGACGUGCAAAUCGAUCGUAGAAUUUGGGUAUAGGGGCGAAAGACUAAUCGAACCAUCUAGUAGCUGGUCUGCG
rnacentral:rRNA from 1 species